rnacentral:tRNA from 1 species
GAAACGUGAUGAUCAAGAAGAAGCUGCUAACUUCAAUCUUUAGCGGUUUAAUUCCGUUUACAUUUCU